rnacentral:lncRNA from 1 species
GUUAGGCACUUCAGCCACACAAGCACUUCCGCUGCCGAAAUCUGUGCUCACAUACCUUUACACGCAUAGCGCACACGUCGCUGUACAAAUCCUAUGGCAUCCGCUACUUCCGGCCAACACACAGUCCGUGGCACGCACUUUCGGCCACUUCGCAAACUCGGGUUUUAAGAUCGGUCGCAUUCGGUCGAAAUUCGCUAGUUUCCUAUUGGCCCAAUCCCUUAGAAUACGUCAUCAUCGGAGAGAAGAAGACCUUCGGCAUCUUUCGGCUUUAGUGCUUGAAAAUCGAUCAAUGGCUUCCACUUGAUCGCCAAGUUUACAUUUUUCCGACCGUCAAAAUUCACAUUUUGAGAGGACGAAUCGUGAAGCACUAAGAUUUUGCCACUGCACUGAUUUUAUGACCGUACGCAGAAGUCACUACAGAUCUGUUCAUGGGUAAACUUCAUCAAUUCCUCAGUCCACGAUUCAUCCUCCAUGGAUAGCAAAGGCGUUGAACCAGACUUUGGACGACAGGAAACAAAUCAUAUGUCUACUCCAUUAAUUAUAGGGAUGAAGAAGCGGAGUGGGAUUUUCCACUUUUGACAGAUCUAAAGAAAAAGGAACUUAUCAUACUGGACACUCUGUAAUUGUUAAAGUUCAACAGUUAGGCCUUUUGUUGUGGAUGGAGCUUCAGUAAUGAAGUAAAGAAGUGGCGACUUAAAGAAAAAACAAUGUUCAGUUCAUCAGGGGUACUGGGAAAGGAAAAUAAUGUUUAGUUAGAAUCAAAUUGAUUAUUGUUUGACUUCACUUUUAGUUAUGGAGUUUGCCCAUCAAUAGGCCUACUCCGCAAAAAUAGGCAUUUUGCACAUACCAUUACAUUUUCCCCCUUUUCUGAAUCAAUUUGUAUGGUAUUAGGUGUUGAUUGUAUUAGUUGAUUAACAAAUUAGUUGAGGCUUUUUGGAAGACUUAAUGCAUUUUCAUUCCUCAAAAUCAUUUUACAAAAGAUGAGUUCCGUUUGAAUUGGCAGUGUGAGCCAUUUACCAUUGUUUGUCUAACAUCAAAACAACCAUAACAGUUAGAGUUGUGUGUACAAGUGUAUUUAGAAGACUAAUUAAAUAUGCAAGAUGUGUAAUUAUGCUAAUAUUUCACAGCUAGUAAAGAUACCCUAUAUAUUUUCAGUGAAUGACCCAAAACUGAUUCAAAUAAGAAAAACCUCUUCAGCAUACUUGUUACACGUCUUUUCCCAGAAAAGAUGUGAAAUUGGCUAUUUUCACAUACAUGUACCUGUAAAUAUGCAAAUUAAAUCAUUAAAAAAAUGAGUCGGGUUUUAACACCUCUAUCUGAGCAACUAUUUGUUACAACACUGUUUGCAUGCAUGUGUAUUAUAGGUUUUUUGAGCAAAUUUAGGUUCGGAAAUGUUUUUCUCCUCAUUUUCACAUAAUUAGCUGAUAAAUUAUGCAAAUUUGGUAAUUAUGUACAAAUUAUAGAUCUAGUUGCUUUCCCUACAGCCAAAAUUUAAAUACUUGUUUGAAAUGUCA